CAAUUUAAAGGGCAAAACUGUUGUGAAGCAGUGACGCAAAGCUAAAGGGACUUUUUAAAGUCAGCCAGUUAUCAGA
rnacentral:ncRNA from 1 species